AGAGUUUACCGAGUCUUCUGUUUUCUCAAAGAGGCUAUUUAUAUUUCACUGCUUUAUCGUUUAUCAUGGAGUUGAAACCACAUAAGAUGUAUGAAUUCUUCUGUCCACCCAAUCUUCCAAUAUGUUACCUGCUGGAACCAAUGGCCAGGCGUGCCAUGUUGCAGUCUGCAGAAGAGGAUGACCUGGACCUGGUGAAUGGUUUGAUUCGCUUUAAUGAUCUGG